AUUGAACGCUGGCGGCAUGCUUUACACAUGCAAGUCGAACGGUAACAGGUUAAGCUGACGAGUGGCGAACGGGUGAGUAAUGCAUCGGAACGUGCCCGAUCGUGGGGGAUAACGCAGCGAAAGCCGCGGUAAUACCGCAUACGCCAUACGGGGGAAAGAGGGGGAUCGCAAGACCUCUUGUUAUUGGAGCGGCCGAUGGGUGAUUAACUAGUUGGUGGGGUAAAGGCCUACAAAGGCAACGAACAGUAGCGGGUCUUAGAGGACGAUCCGCCACACUGGAACGGAGACACGGUCCAGACUCCUACGGGAGGCAGCAGUGGGGAAUCUUGGACAAUGGGCGCAAGCCUGAUCCAGCAAUGCCGCGUGCGUGAAGAAGGCCUUCGGGUUGUAAAGCGCUUUUGUCAGGGAGCAAAUCCUUGUGGCUAAUACCCACCGGGGAUGAGAGUACCUGAAGAAUAAGGACCGGCUAACUACGUGCCAGCCGCCGCGGUAACAC
rnacentral:rRNA from 1 species